rnacentral:rRNA from 1 species
CCUACGGGAGGCAGCAGUGGGGAAUAUUGGGCAAUGGGCGCAAGCCUGACCCAGCAACGCCGCGUGAAGGAAGAAGGCUUUCGGGUUGUAAACUUCUUUUCUCAGGGACGAAGCAAGUGACGGUACCUGAGGAAUAAGCCACGGCUAACUACGUGCCAGCAGCCGCGGUAAUACGUAGGUGGCAAGCGUUAUCCGGAUUUACUGGGUGUAAAGGGCGUGUAGGCGGGAAAGCAAGUCAGAUGUGAAAACCAUGGGCUCAACCUGUGGCCUGCAUUUGAGACUGUUUGUCUUGAGUACUGGGGAGGCAGACGGAAUUCCUAGUGUAGCGGUGAAAUGCGUAGAUAUUAGGAGGAACACCAGUGGCGAAGGCGGUCUGCUGGACAGCAACUGACGCUGAGGCGCGAAAGCGUGGGGAGCAAACAGGAUUAGAGACCCCGGUAGUC